rnacentral:rRNA from 1 species
AUUGAACGCUGGCGGCAGGCCUAACACAUGCAAGUCGAGCGAGCGGCGGACGGGUGAGUAAAGUGUGGGAAACUGCCUGAGGGGGGGGGAGAACAACUGGAAACGCGAGAUAAUACCCAACACCAUAAGAUCUGCCCCGAUGGGAUUUGCUAGUAGGUGUGGUAACGGCGCACCUAGGCGACGAUCCCUAGCUGGUCUGAGAGGAUGAUCAGCCACACUGGAACUGAGACACGGUCCAGACUCCUACGGGAGGCAGCAGUGGGGAAUAUUGCGCAAUGGGCGCAAGCCUGAUGCAGCCAUGCCGCGUGUGUGAAGAAGUCCUUCGGGUUGUAAAGCACUUUCAGCAGGGAGGCGUUACCCACAGAAGAAGCACCGGCUAACUCCGUGCCAGCAGCCGCGGUAAUAC